rnacentral:rRNA from 1 species
GACGAACGCUGGCGGCGUGCUUAACACAUGCAAGUCGAACGAAGUGGCGCACGGGUGAGUAAUACGUGAGUAACCUGCCCUCCUUUUUGGGAUAAGCCUUGGAACCGGGGUCUAAUACCGCAUAAAGGGUGAUGGGCUCGCGGCCUAUCAGCUUGUUGGUGGGGUGAUUGCCUACCAAGGCGGUGACGGGUAGCCGGCCUGAGAGGGUGAACGGGCACAUGGGGACUGGGAUACGGCCCAGACUCGUACGGGAGGCGGCAGUGGGGGAUAUUGGACGAUGGGCUAAGACCGGAUGCAGCGACGCCGGGUGGGGGAUGAAGGCUUUCGGGUUGUAAACCUCUGUCGCGAGCGAACGGGUAGGUGGAGAAGAAGCGCCGGCUAACUACGUGCCAGCAGCCGCGGUAAUAC